rnacentral:lncRNA from 1 species
ACAUAAAAAUAAACAAACAGGCAGACGCGAUUAUCGUAUAUCUCUUUGACGACCAAACCACUGUCAAAUCGCAGGAAUCUGCGUUGGUUGUUCAUUGUCCGAGAGGUUGCGGUAUUUACAAGCUCGAAUAAUUGAAUCAGACAGCAGCCUUGUCCGAUGGUUUACCGACUCCGCAGAGAAAGAUAGACACAGACAGACAGACAGACGGACGGGCAUACAGAGAAGAGGAAGAGAGAGAGAGAGGGAGAACGAUGUACAUAGUAUCUGCAUCAAGGGAAAGAAUGUUCGGGUCAUCUCGACUGGGGGAACGAUCAAGCUGGGACUAAGAGCUAAGUGUAGGGGAAUGAAGAGGUGGAGGUGGAGGAGGAGGAGGAUGAGGGCGACGACGACAACGAUUGAAAUAAAAAGAUAUAAGAAAGAGUGAUAAAAAUAGAAGGAGUGGUACUUAUCAAAGCUACGAAUAGAUUUGCUAAUAACAUCAAGGGAUUAUCUAGGAAUAAUCUAGGAAUUAUGCAAAAAUCAAGUGUACAGUUGUAUGAUAAUACGUGUAAUGCUUAUAUCGAAUAUGUAUAAUCAGCCACUCAAUUAUGAUUGUUUAUGUCUUCGGAUAAUCUAGGGAGAGAUAUACGUUUAGAUAUAAUUUUAUUUGAUAAUAUAAUUGAUGUUCGUGUAAAUUGUGUAAUUGAUUUAUUGUUAGAGUUGAAUCUCUUUUACCAUAAAUGUUAUUUUGCAUUCAAA